GGGGAUGUAGCUCAGUGGUAGAGCACUUGCAUGUGCGAGGCCCAGGGUUUGAUCCCUAGCACCCCCU
rnacentral:tRNA from 1 species